rnacentral:misc_RNA from 1 species
UUUUUUUUUUUUUAAUUAAAUGAAACUGAAUUAUAUAUUUUAUUUUCCCUCCUCUUUGAUUGCUUGGGGUUUGGUUGAGAUUUAAAUUAUUCUGGAACUGUCUCCUUGAUUUAAAUAAUUAUGGCUUUUUACAGGCUACUUGUUAUUUUUUACACUAUGAGCUAAGGAUAUAUCUGAUAUGUGAUUUCCUUUCAUCUGAAUAGGUUGGAAGAAGCAUAAAACCAUGGGUACAAUUUUACUUUUGGAUUAAUUACUAAAAAUUCAAAAUCUGAUCCUAAUAUCGAUUGUGAUUUAAUUUUUUUUUU